rnacentral:rRNA from 1 species
UAGAGUUUGAUCAUGGCUCAGAACGAACGCUGGCGGCAGGCCUAACACAUGCAAGUCGAACGCACUCUUCGGAGUGAGUGGCAGACGGGUGAGUAACGCGUGGGAACCUUCCCAGUGGUGCGGAAUAGCCCAGGGAAACUUGGGGUAAUACCGCAUACGCCCUACGGGGGAAAGAUUUAUCGCCAUUGGAUGGGCCCGCGUCGGAUUAGCUUGUUGGUGAGGUAAUGGCUCACCAAGGCAACGAUCCGUAGCUGGUUUGAGAGAAUGACCAGCCACACUGGGACUGAGACACGGCCCAGACUCCUACGGGAGGCAGCAGUGGGGAAUCUUGGACAAUGGGCGAAAGCCUGAUCCAGCCAUGCCGCGUGAGUGACGAAGGCCUUAGGGUUGUAAAGCUCUUUUGGCGGGGACGAUAAUGACGGUACCCGCAGAAUAAGUCCCGGCUAACUUCGUGCCAGCAGCCGCGGUAAUA